rnacentral:rRNA from 1 species
GACGAACGCUGGCGGCGUGCCUAAUACAUGCAAGUUGAGCGAUGAAGAUUGGUGCUUGCCCCAAUUUGAAGAGCAGCGAACGGGUGAGUAACGCGUGGGGAAUCUGCCUUUGAGCGGGGGACAACAUUUGGAAACGAAUGCUAAUACCGCAUAACAACUUUAAACAUAAGUUUUAAGUUUGAAAGAUGCAAUUGCAUCACUCAAAGAUGAUCCCGCGUUGUAUUAGCUAGUUGGUGAGGUAAAGGCUCACCAAGGCGAUGAUACAUAGCCGACCUGAGAGGGUGAUCGGCCACAUUGGGACUGAGACACGGCCCAAACUCCUAUGGGAGGCAGCAGUAGGGAAUCUUCGGCAAUGGACGAAAGUCUGACCGAGCAACGCCGCGUGAGUGAAGAAGGUUUUCGGAUCGUAAAGCUCUGUUGGUAGAGAAGAACGUUGGUGAGAGUGGAAAGCUCAUCAAGUGACGGUAACUACCCAGAAAGGGACGGCUAACUACGUG